rnacentral:lncRNA from 1 species
CCAUGUACCAAGCUCCAUCUUCACAAGAUAGGCUUUAGCCUUAGGCUAGCUAAGUGACUUACCAGUGGAUUAUCCACAUCACAUUUGGAGUUUGCUCUCUGCACCUCUAUGUAUUUCUACUUGAGGUAGUCGUGUGUUUUGCUAUUCUAUGUGCUUGGAUAUCUGGUGAGAUCUAGGCUCCUUAGCAAGGACUAUGGUGCCAUUGUCUUUGCAGUAUGG